rnacentral:rRNA from 2 species
AGCAACAAAUGCCCUGCUUCCAGGAAAAGCCUCUAAGCAUCAGGUAACAUCAAAUCGUACCCCAAACCGACACAGGUGGUCAGGUAGAGAAUACCAAGGCGCUUGAGAGAACUCGGGUGAAGGAACUAGGCAAAAUGGUGCCGUAACUUCGGGAGAAGGCACGCUGACACGUAGGUGAAGUGAUUUACUCAUGGAGCUGAAGUCAGUCGAAGAUACCAGCUGGCUGCAACUGUUUAUUAAAAACACAGCACUGUGCAAACACGAAAGUGGACGUAUACGGUGUGACGCCUGCCCGGUGCCGGAAGGUUAAUUGAUGGGGUCAGCGCAAGCGAAGCUCCUGAUCGAAGCCCCGGUAAACGGCGGCCGUAACUAUAACGGUCCUAAGGUAGCGAAAUUCCUUGUCGGGUAAGUUCCGACCUGCACGAAUGGCGUAAUGAUGGCCAGGCUGUCUCCACCCGAGACUCAGUGAAAUUGAACUCGCUGUGAAGAUGCAGUGUACCCGCGGCAAGACGGAAAGACCCCGUGAACCUUUACUAUAGCUUGACACUGAACAUUGAGCCUUGAUGUGUAGGAUAGGUGGGAGGCUUUGAAGCGUGGACGCCAGUCUGCGUGGAGCCGACCUUGAAAUACCACCCUUUAAUGUUUGAUGUUCUAACGUGGACCCGUAAUCCGGGUUGCGGACAGUGUCUGGUGGGUAGUUUGACUGGGGCGGUCUCCUCCUAAAGAGUAACGGAGGAGCACGAAGGUUGGCUAAUCCUGGUCGGACAUCAGGAGGUUAGUGCAAUGGCAUAAGCCAGCUUGACUGCGAGCGUGACGGCGCGAGCAGGUGCGAAAGCAGGUCAUAGUGAUCCGGUGGUUCUGAAUGGAAGGGCCAUCGCUCAACGGAUAAAAGGUACUCCGGGGAUAACAGGCUGAUACCGCCCAAGAGUUCAUAUCGACGGCGGUGUUUGGCACCUCGAUGUCGGCUCAUCACAUCCUGGGGCUGAAGUAGGUCCCAAGGGUAUGGCUGUUCGCCAUUUAAAGUGGUACGCGAGCUGGGUUUAGAACGUCGUGAGACAGUUCGGUCCCUAUCUGCCGUGGGCGCUGGAGAACUGAGGGGGGCUGCUCCUAGUACGAGAGGACCGGAGUGGACGCAUCACUGGUGUUCGGGUUGUCAUGCCAAUGGCACUGCCCGGUAGCUAAAUGCGGAAGAGAUAAGUGCUGAAAGCAUCUAAGCACGAAACUUGCCCCGAGAUGAGUUCUCCCUGAGACUUUAGGUCUCCUGAAGGAACGUUGAAGACGACGACGUUGAUAGGCCGGGUGUGUAAGCGCAGCGAUGCGUUGAGCUAACCGGUACUAAUGAACCGUGAGGCUUAACCUUACAAC